rnacentral:rRNA from 1 species
GCGUGGGUGAAGAAGGUCUUCGGAUUGUAAAGCCCUUUCGGCGGGGACGAUGAUGACGGUACCCGCAGAAGAAGCCCCGGCCAACUUCGUGCCAGCAGCCGCGGUAAUACGAAGGGGGCUAGCGUUGCUCGGAAUUACUGGGCGUAAAGGGCGCGUAGGCGGCGGCGUUAGUCAGGCGUGAAAUCCCCGGGCUCAACCCGGGGGCUGCGUUUGAUACGGCACCGCUCGAGGACGGGAGAGGCUCGCGGAAUUCCCAGUGUAGAGGUGAAAUUCGU